AGCCAGCGUGACUCAGUGGUUUGGGUGUUGGACUAUGACUCUUGAGACCAGGGUUCGAAUCCUGGCUCGGCUA